UUGUUUCAAAAUUUUUAAACUUCGUCAUUAUUAUUAUUAUUAUUAUUAUUAUUAUUAUUAUUAUUAUUAUUUUAAUUAAUUUUUUUUGUUAACAGUAGUGAAUUUCCAUGUCCUCAUUUGGGGCCUUGCACGCCUGUAAGGUCGUUCUCAGGGGCUAGAUACCAGUGAAAAAUAUGUAAAGUAAUGUUUAGGUACAGAAUUUCCACGACCCAGUUUCCGUGGAGACUUAAGUAGAUCACCAGUUAAAACAAACAGAUUCUCUGCUUCUAUAUUGGGAUGUAACUUUAAAAAAAUGUAUUUUACUUGAUGUGGUGUAGGUGAUAUGAACUUUCUGAAUAAGUCUUGUGGGCACAGCUCUCCCGUGAAGCUACACAUAUUGCUUGUUUUUCUUACCUGUUCCUCUUCCCAUUUCUUCCCUUCUUUCUAAUUUCAUGGACCAGGGUCUUAGGGAGCUCACACCAUGUAGCAGAGGCUAGCCUGACCCUCCUACCUCUUACCUGUCUAAGUACUGGAUCACAGAUGAGAGGCAGUACACCAGGCUGGACGGAGAGGACUGAGGGAAGGUGGGGUGCUCUAAGUGCUUUGGAAUUUGGGGCUAACAUCUCUGCCUUUCCUGGAUAUGAAUGUCUCCUUUGUCUCCGUCAAUGUGCUAUGGAUUUAUGGGUACUUAGGGCAGAGCCUGUGAGAAUGUACCUUGCCUCUGCUAUUGAGGAAGUUGGGUGCUGAGAGCUUAUUAAAAUAUUAUUUGGAUUGGGGAAAUGGCCUGCUACGCAGGGUCCUUACAUGGCUCUCCCUACAGAGCCAUAGCAGAAAUCUAAACUGCAAGCGUUCAGGUCUGACGACUGCCCCAGAUGCCUUUUGAGUAUGGAUUUCUAGGGAAUUCCUGUCUGGAGAAAGUCUCGAUUAGCUGUGACAUCAUAGCUAAUAUAAAUAAUAUAUUACGAAAUGGAUCGCAAGCAACAGGCUCCAGCCAUCUGUAGGGCAAGGCUGCACGCAUCUUCGAAGACAGGCUUUUACUGAAGUCGGAAACCACACGGAACAGCACAGAUGGAAAUGAAACUCUGCACAUUCUGUCUGUGUGCUAGAUGCUCCCAGUUUAGUCUUACAGGGCCCCUACCCCGACUUCCCCAGUACGGGAUUCACCCCAAGUUUCUGUCUUUACUCACACAGUAACAAUGUAAUUGUUACUAGUGAGUCUUGUGUUCCUUGACCCCCUCCCCACCCUGUCUCUCCCUCUCUCCUGGAUCUUACCACAUAACUCUGGCUGGACUCUCUCUCAGGCUAGGCUGGCCUGGGAGUCAGAGGUGUGCCUGCCUCUGCCCUGUAAAUGCUGGGACCAGAGGUGUGCCCAGCCACGUCCUGCUGUUGUUAGCCUCUUCAAAGCCACUCCUUUCUGACUUUUCAAUGUAAAGAUGAGCAGAAAUCAAAAUUAAACAGCAAUGGAGCCUUGUGAGAAAGAACAGGCCCCCUGGUGUCCGGCCACUGGCCUUCGGACCGAGAUUUCCUUUCUCUGCGUGUCUCACAUCUCAGCUUCCUCGCCUGGAAAACAGGGACGUUAUGAAUGUCACACGAGAGUGCUUUCAACCCACAGGAAAGUGCAGCACACAACCUCACACCUUGGAGAACGAGUCAUAUAUUGUUUAGAGUUGCGGCCUUUGGGAGCUGAAUCAAUGAGCUUAAAACAAAACAAAACAAAACAAAACAAACCUCUUGCUUUAUAAAGUAGCUCCCCUCAGGUAUGUUGUUAUAGGAAUAAAAACCAGACAAAAUAUAGAUGCCAUUAAGUGAAUUGUGUUUGCAGAUGUUGCCUCAGGAAGAUCUGUUUGUUGUAAGAACAACAACGACAAAACUCUUAAUUUUCAGAAUGGAGAAGGGGAGCAGAGGCAGAGGAGGAAGUGGGGGACAGGAACACAGUUAGCGGUAGAGCGCAGGGUCCUGGAGUCAAUCCCCAGUAUUGAAAGACAAACAACGAAAACCUUUGUCAGUCUGAUGUCUUGGAAAAGAUCCAAACCAAUAUCCAAGGAAAGAGAAAACACAUGACAGAAGCCGGCAGAAGAAUCCUGAGGGAAGUAGUGGAAGAAAUGGCCAAGGGGAAGGCUUCAGUUAGGAGAACUAAAGUAUGGAAGCUGGCCCAGCAGCGAGGAGAGCAUCCCGGUCCCUGGAGACUGGAGUUGAGGUCUCAGCUGGCCCAGCAGCUCACACCCACCUGGAAACUCUGAUGCCCUCUUCUGGCUUCCUCAGGCACUGCACUCGUUAGCACUACCUUACACACACACACACACACACACACACACACACACACACACACACACACUAAAACACACACUAAAACACACACUUAAGAACUCCAAAGUCAAAACACCAGUAACCGAAGCUUUUGAGAAUCCCUUCCCUGAAUCACACAACAUCAUUUUUAUUUUCUAAUGCAAGGGAGAUGGGAGCCCUGGAAUGUCCCCAUGAGGGACUACCAUUUUCUGUGUUCCAAGGACCCUGGAGUCCAUGGAGCCAAUCCUGAUGGAACAAAUAGGUGUUUUUUAGCAGUUGCAUGUAGCAAUUCCUUAGACAUGUCACCCAGGGACAAGUCAUUUUCUUGGACUUUUGCUUUCUUUUUUUUUUUUUUUUUCUUUUUUUUUUCGGAGCUGGGGACCGAACCCAGGGCCUUGCGCUUGCUAGGCAAGCGCUCUACCGCUGAGCUAAAUCCCCAACCCGGACUUUUGCUUUCUAGUCUAAGGAGGCAGUCUAGCUCCAGGUAGACCUGGAAUUGUGUAACUUCGUGUGUGUGUGUGUGUGUAUGUGUGUGUGUAUGCAUUCUGUGUAUGUGUGUGUGCAUGUGUGUGUGUGCAUUCUGUGUAUGUAUGUGUGUGUAUGUGUGUGUGUGCAUUCUGUGUAUGUAUGUGUAUGUGUGUGUGUGCAUUCUGUGUAUGUGUGUGUGCAUGUGUGUGUGCAUUCUGUGUAUGUAUGUGUGUGUGCAUGUGUGUGUAUGCGUGUGUGUGUGCAUUCUGUGUAUGUAUGUGUGUGUGCAUGUGUGUGUAUGUGUGUGUGUGUGCAUUCUGUGUAUGUAUGUGUGUGUAUGCGUGUAUGCAUACGUGUGUGUGCAUUCUGUGUAUGUGUGUGUAUGUGUGUGUGUGCAUUCUGUGUAUGUGUGUGCAUGUGUGUGUGUGCAUUCUGUGUAUGUGUGUGUAUGUGUGUGUGCAUUCUGUGUAUGUAUGUGUGUGUGCAUGUGUGUGUAUGUGUGUGUGUGCAUUCUGUGUAUGUAUGUGUGUGUAUGCGUGUAUGCAUACGUGUGUGUGUGCAUUCUGUGUAUGGAUGCAUGUGCAGAUGCAUGAGCAUAACACCUGUGGAAGCUAGAGAUAGAUGCCAGGCAUCUCCCUCAGUCAUUUCCACCUUGUUAUUUUGGAACAUGGGUUCUCACUGAACCUGGGAUUCUGUGAUUUGGUUAGACUGCCUUGUCAGUGAGCCCCAGGAACCCUCCUACCUCUGCCCUUCAGCACUGGGAUUAUACAGGCACUGCAGGUGCUAAGAGUAAGUGGACCUCAGGUCCCAAAGGGGCCGGCUCACUUCUUGUUCAACUGAAAGCUGCCACAAAAAGUUAGUCCACAGAUUAGUAGUCGGGGUGUGGCUCGCAUUUCCCCAGCAGUGGAGCCAGCUCUCAACUGCCUGGGUGCAACCUACCAUGUGCAUUUGCCAGAGAGCAGGGCAGUGAAACCCUGGCAUGCUAUGGUUGAUUAUUUAAGGGUGCCAAAAAUUUCAGCGUCCUUUCAGACCAAGACUGAAAGCAUGUAAGGGAGCGUGUGGCUGCCCGAGGUAGUUCCUUGAAUAGUGUGCUUGUGUCCUGGUGUUUAUUUGCUCAAGAGAAUCUGCUGGGGCAAUGGAGCAAAUGCUCAAACUGUGUUCUCAAGGCAGAGGACAGAAGGUAAGUCGGAAGGAUGCUUGGUGGAAGGAGCCCUCCUUCAGGAACCUCUUAUAAUUCUUUUAAAAAGCUGAUAUUUAUGGAGAAACUCUGGGUCCAGGGAUAAACAUCCCACAGUAGAUAAGGGGCCAGGAACUCAUUUUUUUCUUUUCUUUUUUUUUUAAGAUUUAUUUAUUUAUUAUAUAUGAGUACACUGUCACUGUCUUCAGACACACCAGAAGAGGGCAUCGGAUCUCUUUACAGAUGGUUGUGAGCCACCAUGUGGUUGCUGGGAAUUGAACUCAGGACCUCUGGAAGAGCAGUCAGUGCUCUUAACCACUGAGCCAUCUCUCCAGUCCCCAGGAACUGCAGAGUCACUUUGGAAGAUCAGCAGGGUCAUGCGGUUGGUUGUUCUAGGGAGCUUGCUUUGCCAAGAGGAGUGGUACCGCCACAGAUGUGAGCACCAGUGCAGAGUCCCUAGGUUUCUGAUGAUGUUCUGUUUUAUAGAGAUGCAAGAAAUGGAUCCCAGAAGAGUAAGAGGUUAAGGCGUCAGUCUGGGUGUGGUGGUACAGACAGGCAAUUCCAGCCCUGGAAAGGUUAAGAAGAAAGACUGUGAGUUCUAAUCUAGCAUAGGCUACAUAGUGAGAUUUCCCUCCCCCACUCAAAAAACCAAACCAAAACAAAAAAGCAACCAAACAAACAAAAAAACCGAAAGCCAAAAAAACAAAACAAAUAAAAUCAAGGUUAGGAUGUGUUGUUUUGCUAAAAGUACAUCAACGGACAACUAUUAAAUCUAUUGUUCUCUCUCUCUCCCGCCCCCAUGUGUGUGCGUGCAUGUGUGCCCGAAUGUACAGAUGUGCUUAUAAGUGUGUGUGCAUAUGUGUUGAAGCCAGGGACAAUCAAGGGGAUGUUCCCUAGUAGCUAUCUGCUUUGUUUUGGAGAUGGGGGUCUCUCAGUGGGCUGGGGCUUACUGGUUCAAGCUAGGCUCACACUUGGGUGCUGGGAGUCAAACUUGGGUUCCCAUUUCCUGUGCAGAAGGCACUUCAUCAACUAAGCCAGCUCCUCAGGUUCAAGUCUGGUAUAUUCUAGUACAAAUUUUCUUUAAAAAAUAUUUCACUUCUAUGGUUUCCUAGUUAUUUUCAGUAGUUAAUAUAUAUUUCCCCCGAUCAUCCUUUAAAAAUGAUUUGCUUUUUUUUGGUCUCUUAUUUUCUCCUAGAUUUAAGUUGUUGUUUGUUUUUGUUUGUUUUCAAAAUAGAACCUUGUCUUUAGUGUUUGAGACAAAAAAAAAAAAAAAACAA